rnacentral:rRNA from 1 species
AUGGAAGCCGGGACGCCAGUCCUGGUGGAGCCAUAGGUGAAAUACCACCCUGUUGUUUUCUGAUGUCUAACCUCGAUCCAUGAAACUGGAUCAGGGACCCUCU